CUUGAUCGACCCCAGCCACAGCGGCUCCGCGCGAUCCUUUCCGUACGUCGCCAGCAGCGCCUGCGCCUC
rnacentral:antisense_RNA from 1 species